rnacentral:rRNA from 1 species
AGAGUUUGAUCAUGGCUCAGAGCGAACGCUGGCGGCAGGCUUAACACAUGCAAGUCGAGCGGGCGUAGCAAUACGUCAGCGGCAGACGGGUGAGUAACGCGUGGGAACGUACCUUUUGGUUCGGAACAACACAGGGAAACUUGUGCUAAUACCGGAUAAGCCCUUACGGGGAAAGAUUUAUCGCCGAAAGAUCGGCCCGCGUCUGAUUAGCUAGUUGGUGUGGUAACGGCGCACCAAGGCGACGAUCAGUAGCUGGUCUGAGAGGAUGAUCAGCCACAUUGGGACUGAGACACGGCCCAAACUCCUACGGGAGGCAGCAGUGGGGAAUAUUGGACAAUGGGCGCAAGCCUGAUCCAGCCAUGCCGCGUAAGUGAUGAAGGCCCUAGGGUUGUAAAGCUCUUUUGUGCGGGAAGAUAAUGACGGUACCGCAAGAAUAAGCCCCGGCUAACUUCGUGCCAGCAGCCGCGGUAAUACGAAGGGGGCUAGCGUUGCUCGGAAUCACUGGGCGUAAAGGGUGCGUAGGCGGGUCUUUAAGUCAGGGGUGAAAUCCUGGAGCUCAACUCCAGAACUGCCUUUGAUACUGAGGAUCUUGAGUUCGGGAGAGGUGAGUGGAACUGCGAGUGUAGAGGUGAAAUUCGUAGAUAUUCGCAAGAACACCAGUGGCGAAGGCGGCUCACUGGCCCGAUACUGACGCUGAGGCACGAAAGCGUGGGGAGCAAACAGGAUUAGAUACCCNNGUAGUCC